rnacentral:piRNA from 1 species
AAGGUCUUAUGUUGGAGGGAUCAGC